GCCAUUUUGUUGUGCCAUCACAAGUGUCAAACGCGCAUAAGUGAUAAAUUGAAAAAGUUUGCAUAGUAUUGUUUUGCUGUGUCCAAUAUGUCGAAAUUGUGCCAAAUGAAGAGCAUUCGCGGACAGCAUUAAUUUUUUGUUUUCAUUUGAGGAAAACUGCUACUGAAUCAUAUCGAUUACUUCGAGAAGUUUAUGGUGAACAUGCUCCAUCGCAAGAUACGUGUGAACGAUGAUUUCAAAAGUGAUGAUUUCGAUGUUGUAGACAAGGAACACGGAAAACCGUCAAAAAGGUACGAAGAUGUAGAAUUGCAAGCAUAGUUGGACGAAGACGAUUAACAAACACAAAAACAACUCGCAGAGCAAUUAAGCGUUAGUCAACAAGCUGUUUCCAAUCGCCUACGAGAGAUGGGAAAGAUUCAGAAGGUCGGCAGAUAUCACAUGAGUUGAACGAGAGGUAGAUGGAGAGGCGCAAAGACACAUGUGAAAUUUUGCUCGAACGAUACAAAAGAAAGUCGUUCUUGCAUCGUAUCAUUACUGGAAUGAAAAGUGGAUAUAUUUUGAGAAUCCCAAGCGCAAAAAAUCAUGAGUAGACCGAGGCGUACCAUUGACCGCAAGACCGAAUCGCUUUGGCAGAAAGAUGAUGCUCUGUGGGACCAGAAGGAUGUGGUCUAUUAUGAGCUGUUAAAGCUUGCUGAAACGAUUAAUACCAAACGCUACAAACAACAAUUGAUUAAUUUGAACCGUUCGCUACUCGAAAAACAACCAGAAUAUCGAAAAAGGCAAGAUCAUUUUUCUCCAUGACAAUGCUCCAUCACAUACGGCAAAACCGGUUCGCGACACGUUGGAAGCACUCAGCUGGGAAGUGCUAGCCCAUGCGGCUUACUCAUCAGACGUGGCUCCUUCCGAUUACCACUUGUUUGCAUCGAUGGGUUACGCACUUGCUGAGCAGCGCUUUGGAAGACGAUGAGUGGAUAAAAAUUGCAAAAAACUUGGAUUGUCGGUUGUCGAAUGAAAUUGUCGCAAGUCGGCUAUCGUUGUCGAAAUAGAAGAUGGUCAAUUCCCAUAUUUUCCGACUACGACUAGAUGAAACAUAACCUUCGGACACAUUUGUGUAUGGAUAAACAGAUAUUUUUAUACGGAUAUAUGAAUAUAUUUAUAUUAUAUUAUGGAAUUACUGAAUGUAGAUAAAAUAAUUAUUGAUUUUGUUCGCAAAAAUCAUUGCUUGUAUGAUAAAUGAUGUGGAUUUUAAAAAUGUUGGCAAAAAAAGAAUCUGUGAUAAAAAAUAUUCACAAAUUUGAGAAACUAUUAUGAUAUAACAUGUCAAGUAAUUUUCUUUUGUAUCAAACUUAAGAAAUAUAAGAGCUGACACAGGAUAUGAAUUUGUGUAUAAAUUUAUUCAAGUUUAAUAACUUAAUAAUAUACGUUUCGAUCAUUGUUUUGAUCUUUUUCAAUAUUAUAAAACUAAUUAAAUCAAUGCAUAGUAGUCGUCAAGCAAGUGGAAUCGCAUUAUUCUAUUAUACAAUCAUAUAAUUUGCGUCCAAAUUAAUAAUAAAUUUGAAUAUGUAUUCAACGUUUCAAUAUUUAUUCUUUACAUUUGUUCCGACCUUCCGACUUUGAUCAACGACUUAAUUGUAGAAUAGCAAGUCGUAUUCAUGAGCGACAUACAACAUACGACAAAUGACUAGCGACAUACAACUGAUUGUAGAACGGGCCUAAGAUGGAAAACACCCGCAAUCUUCCAUCCUAUAGAGUCUCUAGAAGAAGAAAGUCUGGACAUUCAGCGAAAAUGCCCUCAAAAUGGCGGUUAAAUAUGUGUGUAAAGGGCUCCGCAUAAUAGAAGGAAUAGGGAACAGAGAACAGAGAAUAAGAAUUUCAACCUAUCAGAAACUGUGUAUUCCAUAAUAUAUUAAAACAAUGUGAUUAAAAAGGCAUACACCACGAGCAAACUGUUAGCAGCGAAAUAUUUAUAUUUUAAUAGAUUACACUAGAAUAAAAACAAGACAAUAAUAUAGACGUUUCGGCUUUAUAUCAGGCCAUCUUUAGUAUUACAAAAUUAAUAUGUUAUGACUUACAUAAUGUUGAG
rnacentral:lncRNA from 1 species